rnacentral:rRNA from 1 species
UACGUAGGUGGCGAGCGUUGUCCGGAUUUACUGGGCGUAAAGAGCGCGCAGGCGGUCGUACAAGUCGCGUGUGAAAGCCCCCGGCUCAACUGGGGAGGGUCACGCGAUACUGUUCGACUCGAAGGCAGGAGAGGGUAGUGGAAUUCCCGGUGUAGCGGUGAAAUGCGCAGAUAUCGGGAGGAACACCGGUGGCGAAGGCGGUUCUCUGGGCCUGUACUGACGCUGAGGAGCGAAAGCGUGGGGAGCGAACAGG